rnacentral:rRNA from 1 species
GAGGAGAGCACCCGGUCUAGGUUUUUGCCUUGUACUGGGUCUCGUCACACAGACGGAGAGGGGGGUGUCACCUUACACGGUGCACGCUUUCUUUGCUCGAAUCUUUUUUUCUGGGGAAACGAGAUGUCCUUCACUGGGCGUUUCGAGGAACCAGGACGAUUACCUUGAGAAAAAUAGAGUGUUCAAAGCAGGCUUCACACAUUUGUAUGCGCUUGAAUACGUUAGCAUGGAAUAAUAAAAUAGGACUUUGGUUCUAUUUUGUUGGUUUUAAGGACCAAUGUC